GACGAACGCUGGCGGCGUGCUUAACACAUGCAAGUCGAACGAAGAGCGAUGGAAGCUUGCUUCUAUCAAUCUUAGUGGCGAACGGGUGAGUAACGCGUAAUCAACCUGCCCUUCAGAGGGGGACAACAGUUGGAAACGACUGCUAAUACCGCAUACGAUCUAAUCUCGGCAUCGAGGAUAGAUGAAAGGUGGCCUCUACAUGUAAGCUAUCACUGAAGGAGGGGAUUGCGUCUGAUUAGCUAGUUGGAGGGGUAACGGCCCACCAAGGCGAUGAUCAGUAGCCGGUCUGGGAGGAUGAACGGCCACAUUGGGACUGAGACACGGCCCAGACUCCUACGGGAGGCAGCAGUGGGGAAUCUUCCGCAAUGGACGAAAGUCUGACGGAGCAACGCCGCGUGGGUGAUGACGGCCUUCGGGUUGUAAAGCUCUGUUAAUCGGGACGAAAGGCCUUCUUGCGAAUAGUGAGAAGGAUUGACGGUACCGGAAUAGAAAGCCACGGCUAACUACGUG
rnacentral:rRNA from 1 species